CCCUUAGAUGUUCUGGGCAGCACGCGCGCUACAAUGGUCUUCGCAAACGGAUGCAUUCUCGAAGGAGAAUGCCAAUCUUGGAAUCUAUGCCUUGGUCGGGACAGUUGCUUGCAAUUUUUCGACUCGAACCAGGAAUUCCUUGUAAUCGUGAUUCAUCACAUCACGAUGAAUACGUCCCUGCCCUUUGUACACACCGCCCGUCGCUCCUACCGAUCGAAGAGUUAGGUGAAUUGUUUUGAUCGAUAAGAUUUGACUAUGGUCAACUCUCGUUGUGAAAUUCUGUGAAUCUGACUGUUUAGAGGAAGGAAAAAUCGUAACA
rnacentral:rRNA from 1 species